rnacentral:rRNA from 1 species
GACGAACGCUGGCGGCGUGCUUAACACAUGCAAGUCGAACGGAAAGGCCCUGCUUUUGUGGGGUGCUCGAGUGGCGAACGGGUGAGUAACACGUGAGUAACCUGCCCUUGACUUUGGGAUAACUUCAGGAAACUGGGGCUAAUACCGGAUAGGAGCUCCUGCUGCAUGGUGGGGGUUGGAAAGUUUCGGCGGUUGGGGAUGGACUCGCGGGUUAUCAGCUUGUUGGUGGGGGAGUGGCUUACCAAGGCUUUGACGGGUAGCCGGCCUGAGAGGGUGAACGGCCACCUUGGGACUGAGAGAGGGCCCAGACUCCUACGGGAGGCAGCAGUGGGGAAUCUUGCCCAAUGGGCGGACGCCUGAUGCAGCAACGCCGCGUGCGGGAUGACCGCCUUCGGGUUGUAAACCGCUUUCGCCUGUGACGCAGCGGGAGUGACGGUAAUGGGUAAAGAAGCACCGGCUAACUACGUG